GUGGACAUGUGGUUUAUUCGAUGCAACGCGAAGAACCUUACCUACUCUUGACAUCCAGAGAACUUUCCAGAGAUGCUUUGGUGCCUUCGGGAACUCUGAGACAGGUGCUGCAUGGCUGUCGUCAGCUCGUGUUGUGAAAUGUUGGGUUAAGUCCCGCAACGAGCGCAACCCUUAUCCUUUGUUGCCAGCGGUCAGGCCGGGAACUCAAAGGAGACUGCCAGUGAUAAACUGGAGGAAGGUGGGGAUGACGUCAAGUCAUUUUGGCACUUACCAGUAGGGCUACACACGUGCUACAAUGGCGCAUACAAAGAGAAGCGACCUCGCGAGAGCAAGCGGACCUCAUAAAGUGCGUCGUAGUCCGGAUUGGAGUCUGCAACUCGACUCCAUGAAGUCGGAAUCGCUAGUAAUCGUGGAUCAGAAUGCCACGGUGAAUACGUUCCCGGGCCUUGUACACACCGCCCGUCACACGAUGGGAGUGGGUU
rnacentral:rRNA from 1 species